rnacentral:sRNA from 1 species
ACUGAGGCAAAGAUUUCGGAAUCCGGGCAACACCCAUCCACAUCAGAUAUCUGUUUACUUUGAUUUACAGAAAGAAAAAUGCUGGAAAAAUGUCCAGGGAGAAUUGAACAUGGAGCUAUGGUUGUGCUACUCAUGCUGGGAAACAGAAUGGUCACUACAUCGUUCCAGUGGGGAACAAUCAAUAAAAAGUCAGGGCCAAAUGACCCAGCAUGGCAGUUCUACCAGCUGACAUAUAAUUCUUUUGAUUGUUAAUAUUUUAUGUUUUUUAUUGAGAGCACUAAAAUGAUAUUUCGUGACUCUUAAUAGAUCAAUUUUCAAAUGUAAUACAUGUAUUUUAUCACUGUC